AACGAACGCUGGCGGCAUGCCUAACACAUGCAAGUCGAACGAGACCUUCGGGUCUAGUGGCGCACGGGUGCGUAACGCGUGGGAACCUGCCCUUAGGUUCGGAAUAACUCCCCGAAAGGGGUGCUAAUACCGGAUAAUGUCUUCGGACCAAAGAUUUAUCGCCUUUGGAUGGGCCCGCGUUGGAUUAGCUAGUUGGUAGGGUAAAAGCCUACCAAGGCGACGAUCCAUAGCUGGUCUGAGAGGAUGAUCAGCCACACUGGGACUGAGACGCGGCCCAGACUCCUACGGGAGGCAGCAGUGGGGAAUAUUGGACAAUGGGCGAAGGCCUGAUCCAGCAAUGCCGCGUGAGUGAUGAAGGCCUUAGGGUUGUAAAGCUCUUUUACCCGGGAUGAUAAUGACAGUACCGGGAGAAUAAGCUCCGGCUAACUCCGUG
rnacentral:rRNA from 1 species